GCAAACGUAGAAAUACGUCUUUGACCGCUAAGACCUUGUGCAUACCGAAUACUUUACCGGCAAUAGUAGGACCACAUUCCACGAAGUCGGCUAACUUGCUGAACGGCCUAUUUAAGAAAGCCAAGGGUGUUUUUCUCUGCUGCUUUGCGAUAUCGAGGCGGCUUGUAAUCAUCUGUGGACCACUGAAGCGCGCGAGCUCACAGACGCUCGUAAUCCACCAACAAAGAUCAGCUACAGAUACACUGCACAUCACACCUGACUUAGCGGACUCAGCCAUAUGUAAGCGUUGCUGUUUUUGUUAUAGCGAAGCCGUUGAAAGCAAACGCCAAGGGCAGAGGCCGGAGUUGCGAGCAGCUUCUCGCGCCACCUUUAUGACCAGCUCAGAAGUCCCAACAUAGUGUCUUCCGAAAUUCCAGGCUUUACCCUUUCAUAGGCGUGUUGUGUCGGCGUGCAACAAGUGCAAAGCCCAAGUCUUGACAAGACAUGCAUGUCUUAUCUUAUGUCAUAUGACGUGUUGCGAAGAUGAGGCGCUGUCGUUGUGUGCAUGAUUAGUUCGCAUGAAUGGAGGAUAGAUGCGGCAGGCGAGGAGCUUGCAGGGGGGACAGGUGGGAGGGGAGGACGCGGCAGGAGUGAGAGGCGCUAGGGGGUUCGAGUCGUGAGGGGAGGAUGCGACAGGUGACAGACGCGGUCUGUGAUUGCGGCGGCGGGGGUGGAGGCCGCGGGCAAGGAUGCGGUAGGGUAGGGGAAUGGGGCGGCAGGGGAAAGUGGCAGGAAGUGGAGGGGGCAGCUGCAGCAGAGGCAUCCGGGGGGAAGUCAUCAGGGGAGGACGCGAGGCCGCAGAGGGACGGCCUAGGAGUGAGGCGGCCGGGGAUUGAGGCGGCCAUGGAUUGAGGCAGCCGGAGAUAGUGGCGGCAUCGAAUAGUGGCGGCGGGGAAUAGUGAUGAAAACCUUGUGACAUAAAAAUUCAUGCUUGAAAGCGGUAUCGAACCGCGAACCUGCAAAUUCCCAAUCGCAACGUCAUCUCUACGUUAUAGCAGCACAGUAGAACACGAGUACAUAUACACAUCCAUGCACAUUCUUUCAAUUGUCAGCAUGUAGUUCUGAAAAGCUGCAGAGUGCAUUUUGCUUGAAGGUGUCGUACAUUUGAGGAUGGAAAUCCUCAAAUGUACGACAACAAUGGCGCCCAUUGCAGCAGCCUCAAUGAAGCGUCUCGUGAAGAUCGCAAACGUAGAAACACGUCUUUGACCGCUAAGGCCUUGUGCAUACCGAAUACUUUACCGGCAAUAGUAGGACCACACUCCACGAACUCGGCUAACUUGCUGAACGGCCUAUUUAAGAAAGCCAAGGGUCUUCUUCUCUGCUGCUUUGCGAUAACGAGGCGGCUUGUAUUCAUCUGUGGACAACUGAAGCGCGCGAGCUCACAGACGCUCGUAAUCCACCAACAAAGAUCAGCUACAGAUACACUGCACAUCACACCUGACUUAGCGGACUCAGCCAUAUGUAAGCAUUGCUGUUUUUGUUAUAGCGAAGCCGUUGAAAGCAAACGCCAAGGGCAGAGGCCGGAGUUGCGAGCAGCUUCUCGCGCCACCUUUAUGACCAGCUCAGAAGUCCCAACAUAGUGUCUUCCGAAAUUCCAGGCUUUACCCUUUCAUAGGCGUGUUGUGUCGGCGUGCAACAAGUGCAAAGCCCAAGUCUUGAUAAGACAUGCAUGUCUUAUCUUAUGUCAUAUGACGUGUUGCGAAGAUGAGGCGCUGUCGUUGUGUGCAUGAUUAGUUCGCAUGAAUGGAGGAUAGAUGCGGCAGGCGAGGAGCUUGCAGGGGGGACAGGUGGGAGGGGAGGACGCGGCAGGAGUGAGAGGCGCUAGGGGGUUCGAGUCGUGAGGGGAGGAUGCGACAGGUGACAGACGCGGUCUGUGAUUGCGGCGGCGGGGGUGGAGGCCGCGGGCAAGGAUGCGGUAGGGUAGGGGAAUGGGGCGGCAGGGGAAAGUGGCAGGAAGUGGAGGGGGCAGCUGCAGCAGAGGCAUCCGGGGGGAAGUCAUCAGGGGAGGACGCGAGGCCGCAGAGGGACGGCCUAGGAGUGAGGCGGCCGGGGAUUGAGGCGGCCAUGGAUUGAGGCAGCCGGAGAUAGUGGCGGCAUCGAAUAGUGGCGGCGGGGAAUAGUGAUGAAAACCUUGGACACAAAACAUCGUGAUUACCAGGGGUAUCGAACCGCGAACCUGCAAAUUCCCAAUCGCAACAUCAUUUUCACGUUAUAGCAGCACACGAGUACAUAUAGACAUCUGUGCACGUUAUCGCAAUUGUCAGCAUCAAGUACUGAAAAGCUGCAGAGUGCAUUUUGCUUGAAGGUGUCGUACAUUUGAGGAUGGAAAUCCUCAAAUGUACGACAACAAUGGCGCCCAUUGCAGCAGCCUCAAUGAAGUGUCUCGUGAAGAUCGCAAACGAAGAAACAUGUCUUUGUCCGCUAAGGCCUUGUGCAUACCGAAUACUUUACCGGCAAUAGUAGGACCAGAUUCCACGAACUCGGCUAACUUGCUGAACGGCCUAUUUAAGAAAGCCAAGGGUCUUCUUCUCUGCUGCUUUGCGAUAUCGAGGCGGCUUGUAAGCAUCUGUGGACAACUGAAGCGCGCGAGCUCACAGACGCUUGUAAUCCACCAACAAAGAUCAGCUACAGAUACACUGCACAUCACACCUGACUUAGCGGACUCAGCCAUAUGUAAGCAUUGCUGUUUUUGUUAUAGCGAAGCCGUUGAAAGCAAACGCCAAGGGCAGAGGCCGGAGUUGCGAGCACUGCUUCUCGCGCCACCUUUAUGACCAGUGCAGCUUCUCGCGCCACCUUUAUGACCAGCUCAGAAGUCCCAACAUAGUGUCUUCCGAAAUUCCAGGCUUUACCCUUUCAUAGGCGUGUUGUGUCGGCGUGCAACAAGUGCAAAGCCCAAGUCUUCCGAAGACGUGACGCUGUGCAUCACCUGCGCACGAGGCGCUCUCGUUGUGUGCGGGAUUGAUAUGGUGCAAAUGGAGGAUAGAUGCUGCAGGCGAGGAGUUUGCAGGGGGUAGCGGUGGGAGGGGAGGAGGCGGCAGGAGUGAGAGGCGGUAGGGGGUCGAGUCGUGAGGGGAGGACGCGACAGGUGACAGACGCGGUCUGGGAUAGANN
rnacentral:lncRNA from 1 species